rnacentral:rRNA from 1 species
AUUGAACGCUGGCGGCAGGCCUAACACAUGCCAGUCGAGCGGAUGAAGGGAGCUUGCUCCUGGAUUCAGCGGCGGACGGGUGAGUAAUGCCUAGGAAUCUGCCUGGUAGUGGGGGAUAACGUCCGGAAACGGGCGCUAAUACCGCAUACGUCCUGAGGGAGAAAGUGGGGGAUCUUCGGACCUCACGCUAUCAGAUGAGCCUAGGUCGGAUUAGCUAGUUGGUGGGGUAAAGGCCUACCAAGGCGACGAUCCGUAACUGGUCUGAGAGGAUGAUCAGUCACACUGGAACUGAGACACGGUCCAGACUCCUACGGGAGGCAGCAGUGGGGAAUAUUGGACAAUGGGCGAAAGCCUGAUCCAGCCAUGCCGCGUGUGUGAAGAGGGUCUUCGGAUUGUAAAGCACUUUAAGUUGGGAGGAAGGGCAGUAAGUUAAUACCUUGCUGUUUUGACGUUACCAACAGAAUAAGCACCGGCUAACUUCGUG